rnacentral:tRNA from 1 species
UCCCUGGUGGUCUAGUGGCUAAGACUCCAUCUUCCAAUCCUGGGGACCCAGGUUUGAUUCUUGGUCAGGGAA